UUUAACUGAAGAGUUUGAUCAUGGCUCAGAUUGAACGCUGGCGGCAGGAAUAACACAUGCAAGUCGAGCGGGGGAAGGUAGCUUGCUA
rnacentral:rRNA from 1 species